AACGAACGCUGGCGGCAUGCCUAACACAUGCAAGUCGAACGGGACCUUCGGGCCUAGUUGCGCACGUGUGCGUAACGCGUGGGAACUUGCACUUAGGUUCCGAGUAACUCCCCGUGGGGGGUCCUAAUGCAGGAUGAUGUAUUAGCACCAAGGAUUUUUCGCCUUGGGAUGGGCCCUCGUUGGCUUCGGGAGUUGGUAGGGUAAAAGCCUACCAAGGCGAGGAUGCAUAGCUGGUCGGAGAGGAGGACCAGCCAGACUGGGAAUGAGACACGGCCUAGUAUCGUAGGCGAGGGAGCAGUGGGGAACAUUGGAGGAGGGGGGAAAGUCUAAUCCAGCAAUGCGGGGUGUGUGAUGAAGGGGUUAGUAUUGUAAAGCCCUUUGACACGGGAUGAUAAUGACAGUACCGGGUGAAUAAGCACCGGCUAACUACGUG
rnacentral:rRNA from 1 species